UCGGACCAAGGAUAGCAAACCCAGGAUAGCAAACGCCUCUCUGUAAUAUGAAGUACCUAUUUCUGGGAUUCUUCACACUGGCCUUGCUGGCAUCCACCAUGGCACAGAAUUCUACAAUAGGACCAACAACCAACAAACAGAAUUUUACAAUUGGACCAACAACCAACAAACAGAAUUCUACAAUAGGACCAACAACCAUCCAACAGAAUUCUACAAUAGGACCAACAACCGCCGCCACAACCGCCACAACCGCCACAACUGCCACAACUGCCACAACCGCCACAACUGCCACAACCGCCACAAGGCCAACACCCCCAAAUUCUACAAUAGGACCAACAACCAACAAACAGAAUUCUACAAUAGGACCAACAACCAACAAACAUAAUUCUACAAUAGGACCAACAACCAUCCAACAGAAUUCUACAAUAGGACCAACAACCGACCAACAGAAUUCUACAAUAGGACCAACAACCGACCAACAGAAUUCCACAAAAGGACCAAUAAUCUCCACCUCAACCACCACAUGGCCAACCACUCUCACCACACCAGCAGGGGGCAGCCAUGUCUUCAGUUACUCCAUGACUUUACUGUUUGGUUCGACAGCCAGCCUGAUCAUGCAUUCACUAUGGCAUUGAGCGCCACGUAGAGGGCAAGAGUCACAUUGACUGAGCCUUCCUGAGAGUGAAAAAGGGAUACUUUGGGAUUUUGGCAAUGAGGUCCGUUAUCUACUUUCCCAGAGUCAGAUGAACUCAUGGAUACUAGUUUUAAGUCUCUGCGUGCGGUUUGAAUAAAGUUGCUAACUAGCGCAAUUGCUAACUACUAGUUGCUAAGUAGUGCUAGUGCAAUUGUUAACUAGUGUUAGCGCAAUGACAGGAACUUCCAGUCAUUGUGUCAACACUAGUUAGCAUUUGAUCGCAAAACAACCUCUAACGUCUUUCAUACUGGACACAGAGACAUAAAAAUGGUAUCCACGAGUUCAUCUGACUCUGGGUAAGACAAUAAAGGGCAUCAUUGCCAAAAUCCUAAAGUUCCCUUUAAAAACUGAAUGAAGAGCGUAGAAGAAUGAUCUUUCUCUCUGUCAAUUUGUGUGUUUUACAAUGACCUGCUUUCGGUUUGUGGGUGCUCUGUUUAUUUCAAAAUGUAGAAUUAACACAUUGGUUGAUAGGGUAUGUUGCAAAAUCGGUUUUUUAUUAAUGUUUUAUAAUAAAUCAAGCUGUGAGUUCCUUUUAACAAAAUAGCUCAUUAUGCAAAUUGUAAAUUAUUUCUUUUCUCAUUGUAUACAUGUUGAAAAGUACCCACAUACAUUUUUGGGGCGGGUAUUGCUAUGUGAACAAGUGAAAUAUUAACAUAUUCAUGUGAGUGCCCUUGGACAAAAAUAGCUAAUUAUACAAAUUGUAAAUUAUUUCAUUUCUCAUAGUACAAAUGUUGAAAGGUACCCAAAUAUAUAUAUUUUUUUGUAUUGCUAUUUGACCGAGUGCAAUAUUUAGAUAUUCAUUUAUUAAAAUCAUGAUCUUUUAUCACAGUAAAUAGGUUUAUCUGAAUUGCUCUUGCUUUUCAUUUUAAUAUCAGUUCCAUUGUUCUGAUUUUCAGGGCACUUUAAGAUCAAUGUAUAAAAAGUGUCCACUCCAAAAGUGCCUUCAUAGGAAAAAUAAAUGCAUUCAAUUUAAUAUAAGAUAAAGUUAUUAAUUAACAAUGAAAGUAUUAUUAAAAUCUAUGACAUACAAUGUGACUUAUCAAUACAGGUACAGAAGGCGCAUUGAUGGCAUAGAUAACUAUAAUUAACUAUAAUAAAGUUUAUCAUCUUAAACAAACUAUGAUAAGGUUUAUAAUUGUUUCAAGUUUUUACCCUAUGAUAAACUGGGUGGUUCGAGC